rnacentral:rRNA from 1 species
UGGGGAAUUUUGGACAAUGGGGGCAACCCUGAUCCAGCAAUGCCGCGUGUGUGAAGAAGGCCUUCGGGUUGUAAAGCACUUUUGUCCGGAAAGAAAACGCCGUGGUUAAUACCCGUGGCGGAUGACGGUACCGGAAGAAUAAGCACCGGCUAACUACGUGCCAGCAGCCGCGGUAAUACGUAGGGUGCAAGCGUUAAUCGGAAUUACUGGGCGUAAAGCGUGCGCAGGCGGUCCGCUAAGACAGAUGUGAAAUCCCCGGGCUUAACCUGGGAACUGCAUUUGUGACUGGCGGGCUAGAGUAUGGCAGAGGGGGGUAGAAUUCCACGUGUAGCAGUGAAAUGCGUAGAGAUGUGGAGGAAUACCGAUGGCGAAGGCAGCCCCCUGGGCCAAUACUGACGCUCAUGCACGAAAGCGUGGGGAGCAAACAGGGUUAGAUACCCUGGUAGUCCACGCCCUAAACGAUGUCAACUAGUUGUUGGGGAUUCAUUUUCCUUAGUAACGUAGCUAACGCGUGAAGUUGACCGCCUGGGGAGUACGGUCGCAAGAUUAAAAACUUAAAGGAAUUGACGGGGUCAUAGCUG